rnacentral:rRNA from 1 species
GACGAACGCUGGCGGCGUGCUUAACACAUGCAAGUCGAACGGAAAGGCCUCUUUCGGGGGGUACUCGAGUGGCGAACGGGUGAGUAACACGUGAGUAACCUGCCCUUGACUUUGGGAUAACUUCGGGAAACUGGGGCUAAUACCGGAUAGGAGCUCCUGCUGCAUGGUGGGGGUUGGAAAGUUUCGGCGGUUGGGGAUGGACUCGCGGCUUAUCAGCUUGUUGGUGGGGUAGUGGCUUACCAAGGCUUUGACGGGUAGCCGGCCUGAGAGGGUGACCGGCCACAUUGGGACUGAGAUACGGCCCAGACUCCGACGGGAGGCAGCAGGGGGGAAGAUUGCACAAGGGGUGGAAGCCUGAUGCAGCAACGCCGUGGGCGGGAGGACGGCCUUCGGGUUGUAAACCGCUUUCGCUCAUGACGAAGCUUUGUGUGACGGUAGUGGGUAAAGAAGCACCGGCUAACUACGUG